rnacentral:tRNA from 1 species
AAGGGUAUAGCUCAGUGCUAGAGUGUGUGCUUAGCAUGCACAAGGUCAUGGGUUUGAUCCCCCGUACCUCCA